GGAAGUGCCUUACGGGGCACGGAGAGUGGCGAACGGGUGAGUAACGCGUAACUGAUCUGCCCCUUAGACUAGGAUAACCUGUGGAAACAGAGGCUAAUACUGGAUAAGCUCAGCGGAGUUAGAGAGGGCUGAGGAAAGGUGAUAUAAGCGCUAAGGGAUGAGGUUGCGAGCCAUCAGCUAGUUGGUGAGGUAAAGGCUCACCAAGGCGGAGACGGCUAGGGGAUCUGAGAGGGUGGCCCCCCACACUGGGACUGAGACACGGCCCAGACUCCUACGGGAGGCAGCAGUAAGGGAUAUUGCACAAUGGACGGAAGUCUGAUGCAGCGACGUCGCGUGGGCGAAGAAGGUUUUCGGAUCGUAAAGCCCUUUUCUAUGUGGCGAGGAAGGACGGUAGCAUAGGAAUAAGUGUCGGCUAACUACGUGCCAGCAGCCGCGGUAAGACGUAGGACGCGAGCGUUAUCCGGAGUUACUGGGCGUAAAGAGCGCGCAGGCGGGAGGAAAAGUUGCUUAUGAAAGGUACUGGCUAAACUGGUAUAAGCUAGGCAAAACUGUCUUUCUAGAGGGGAAGAGAG
rnacentral:rRNA from 1 species